ACUGCGCGAGAAAAACUCAAACCGUGGCGCAGCUAGCGAUGACACGAUCAUGGUAUUGCAAUAGCAUAGGCCCGCCCGCCAAGCGUCUCUGUAGAGAUGGUGGCCUACCCUCAGCGCCUUGGCGGCGACGGCCCCUGCUCGCACCCUGCAACGAGACUACUACGCGCACGUGCAGUCAGCAUUGUUGUUGUUGUUUGCGGAAGGAUGGCUUUCGGCUGUUCGUGCGUGACUUCGCUGAGGAAGACCGUCCAAUAGUUGCGUCUGCGCUUGACAUCAGCUAAGCAGCCGUUAGCUGUCACCCAAUGUAUGCUGAGUUGGCGUCACAGCACACAGCAUGACUGAGAAACGGCCCCUUUUUAUCAUGAUCGCAGGAAUGAAUCUGGUAUUGAGAUUUGCCCCAAGUCACCAGCAGAAACAAGCCAGCUAAUUGAGCAAGAUGUACUCUCAUAAUGUAAAUGAUUUGAAACAAUAAAGAAUUCAAUU